rnacentral:rRNA from 1 species
GAAUAUUGCGCAAUGGGCGAAAGCCUGACGCAGCGACGCCGCGUGGAGGAUGAAGGCCUUCGGGUCGUAAACUCCUGUCGGAGGGGAAGAACCGCUGGCAGCCGAAUAGGCUCCAGUCUGACGGUACCCUCAAAGGAAGCACCGGCUAACUUCGUGCCAGCCGCCGCGGUAAUACGAAGGGUGCAAACGUUGCUCGGAAUCACUGGGCGUAAAGGGUGCGUAGGUGGCUAUCUAAGUCGGGAGUGAAAGCCCUCAGCUCAACUGAGGAAUUGCUUUCGAUACUGGGUAGCUUGAGUGCGAUAGAGGAUAACGGAAUUCCUGGUGUAGCGGUGAAAUGCGUUGAUAUCAGGAGGAACACCUGUGGCGAAGGCGGUUAUCUGGGUCGCAACUGACACUGAGGCACGAAAGCGUUGGGUAGCAAAC